rnacentral:lncRNA from 1 species
UGUAUAAAAAAUCUGCUGCAUGUUUUAUGCAAAACCUUCUCCAUUUGUUGUGUGCAAAUCGUCGUUAUGUCGCCCCCACGUUUCCCGUUCAGUAUCACCUGUUUCUCCUUACUGUAAAAUUUCAUAAUUAGUUGCAUAAAAUUUCAAGAAAUAUCACCUAAUGUCGUCAACCAUUUAAUUAUGAACAUGGCCUUAUGAUCAUUAGGAGGGAG